rnacentral:rRNA from 1 species
GUGGGGAAUUUUGGACAAUGGGCGAAAGCCUGAUCCAGCAAUGCCGCGUGUGUGAAGAAGGCCUUCGGGUUGUAAAGCACUUUUGUCCGGAAAGAAAUCCUUGGCUCUAAUACAGUCGGGGGAUGACGGUACCGGAAGAAUAAGCACCGGCUAACUACGUGCCAGCAGCCGCGGUAAUACGUAGGGUGCAAGCGUUAAUCGGAAUUACUGGGCGUAAAGCGUGCGCAGGCGGUUUGCUAAGACCGAUGUGAAAUCCCCGGGCUCAACCUGGGAACUGCAUUGGUGACUGGCAGGCUAGAGUAUGGCAGAGGAGGGUAGAAUUCCACGUGUAGCAGUGAAAUGCGUAGAGAUGUGGAGGAAUACCGAUGGCGAAGGCAGCCCCCUGGGCCAAUACUGACGCUCAUGCACGAAAGCGUGGGGAGCAAACAGGAUUAGAAACCCUAGUAGUCC